UACGUAGGGUGCGAGCGUUAAUCGGAAUUACUGGGCGUAAAGCGUGCGCAGGCGGUUUUGUAAGACAGCUGUGAAAUCCCCGGGCUCAACCUGGGAACUGCGGUUGUGACUGCAAGACUUGAGUACGGCAGAGGGGGGUGGAAUUCCUGGUGUAGCAGUGAAAUGCGUAGAUAUCAGGAGGAACACCGAUGGCGAAGGCAGCCCCCUGGGCCUGUACUGACGCUCAUGCACGAAAGCGUGGGGAGCAAACAGGAUUAGAUACCCUGGUAGUCCACGCCCUAAACGAUGUCGACUAGUUGUUCGGAGGGUAAAACCUUUGAGUAACGUAGCUAACGCGUGAAGUCGACCGCCUGGGGAGUACGGCCGCAAGGUUAAA
rnacentral:rRNA from 1 species